UACGUAGGUGACCAGCGUUGUCCGGAUUUACUGGGCGUAAAGAGCGCGCAAGCGGUCGUUCAAGUCGAGUGUGAAAGCCCCGGGCUCAACCUGGGAAUUGCAUUCGAGACUGAAUAGCUAGGGUGCGGUAGAGGGAAGCGGAAUUUCCGGUGUAGCGGUGAAAUGCGUAGAUAUCGGAAGGAACAUCAGUGGCGAAAGCGGCUUCCUGGACCAGCACCGACGUUCAGGCACGAAAGCGUGGGGAGCAAACAGG
rnacentral:rRNA from 1 species